GACGAACCGUGCGGACGUUGUUCGGAAUCACUGGGCUUAAAGGGCGCGUAGGCGGGCUGUCAAGUCUGGGGUGAAAUGCUGCGGCUCAACCGUAGAACUGCCUUAGAUACUGACGGCCUCGAGGAAGGUAGGGGCAUGCGGAACUGUAGGUGGAGCGGUGAAAUGCGUUGAUAUCUACAGGAACUCCGGUGGCGAAAGCGGCGUGCUGGACCUUUUCUGACGCUGAGGCGCGAAAGCUAGGGGAGCAAACGGG
rnacentral:rRNA from 1 species